GAUGAACGCUGGCGGCGUGCUUAACACAUGCAAGUCGAACGAUGAAGCCCAGCUUGCUGGGUGGAUUAGUGGCGAACGGGUGAGUAACACGUGAGUAACCUGCCCUUAACUCUGUGAUAAGCCUGGGAAACUGGGUCUAAUACCGGAUAGAAGCGUCCACCGCGUGUUGGGUGUUGUAGAAAUUUAUCGGUUUUGGAUGGACUCGCGGCCUAUCAGCUUGUUGGUGAGGUAAUGGCUCACCAAGGCGACGACGGGUAGCCGGCCUGAGAGGGUGACCGGCCACACUGGGACUGAGAAACGGCCCAGACUCCUACGGGAGGCAGCAGUGGGGAAUAUUGCACGAUGGGCGCAAGCCUGAUGCAGCGACGCCGCGUGCGGGAUGACGGCCUUCGGGUUGUAAACCUCUUUCAGUAGGGAAGAAGCGAAAGUGACGGUACCUGCAGAAGAAGCACCGGCUAACUACGUG
rnacentral:rRNA from 1 species